ensembl:snoRNA
UUGGCCUGGAAUCAAGGCCAGCAGUUUGCUGAAGCUGUUGGUUUCAAGCAGGAGCCUAAAGAAUUACCUUUCUCUGUUGGGUGUUUCAGAACUUUGGAAAUAUAAUGGCCAAUUCAUUAGAAAGAAACAGCA